AGAAAAAAAAGUUCAGGCUCCCACAAGAGAAAAGAAACACCAUGUCUAACUGUCGCUGCAAGCCAUUUCCAUGAGCUCUGAACACUUAUCACAAGUACGCGUCUAGAGCCAAAAGACACACGUGGUGUUCUUCCAACAGGACCGUAAUGGAAACUCAGCAGUAAAGAUACAUGAGAUAACGACUAGAAUGCCAUCAAUUGACACAUAAGAAUGGAACCCGUAGGCUACUUGCGGUGACACAGUGGUGGAUCUGUGAUACUGAAGCCAAUGAGAAGGUCUCGGGUUCGCAUCCCAAGGUCUCCCUGUACACACUGGGCAUGCAUGCAUGUGCCCUUGAGACUGGGUGGAUCCCAGCAUGAGGACUCUGUUGGGGGUACCUGUUUCUCUCCCUCUCAAAAGAGAAAUCACUGUCCUCAACCAUUACUGCCUUCUUUGCAAACCUUAAGAGGGAACAUUCAGUGUUAACUACCUCCGAAACUUAAGGGAUACACUUCACUGGGAAGACCAUCAGCAGGUCCAUGCUCUGGCGGCACAAAUCAGAGCUUCCCGGAACCAAACGCUGUCUCUGCUUAAAAGACAGCAUUCAUAUUGAAGUCCCAGCUGAUACUGGCCUCAAUGUAGAAAACCUUUCACUGGAGGGAUGGAGAAGAAGACAGCUCACCACCACAAAGCCACAGCUCUGGCCUAUGCUUCAAGACCUUACCCUGGACACCUUCCCUUUCCGCUCCACAACCUGUGGACUGUAAAAACUAACUGCAACUGGGGCCAGCAGGUGGCAUGCUGGUUAAGGCGUUGGACUCCCACAUGGCUGACUGUGCUCUGAGUCCUGGACCUGGCGGCUUAAAACUCGUGCUGG